rnacentral:lncRNA from 1 species
AUACAGGGCUGAAAACAAAGACAUUCAAACCUUGAGCCAUUUAGAAGAGGAAGAAGCCAAAAUCUGUGCCAGAGGUUUGACUACUGGGAUACUCAUGGCUUCAGUCUAUUUACAGGAGUACUGAUGACUACAAUAAGAGCUAUAAAGGAAACAUGAACCUGCCUCGUGUGAUGAUGUGGUGAAAAAUUAGAUGCCUCUGGAGAGCUGGACCUGAACUGCUGUUCCAAGGUUAUGGGGGCUCUAUUUUGCCACUGUCUUCACCAGCCUGUGAGAAAGAAACAGCCUUCAGAGAUCUCUCGUCUCCAUCCAUCCAAACUGUCCUGGAGUCCAGAAUCCUCACAGGAUCCAUACAGGGAAGGGACAGCAGGAAACAAGGCUGGUGGUCAAGCUGGUCAAGAGGAAAACCAAAGCUCGUCCUUAUUGAUGUCCUUCAGAGAGAACAUUUUUGAAAUCACAGCUCUGUGCCAGGCAAUGAAAGAGAGGCAGCUGCUGGCUGGGCAGGAUGAGGCCAGCCCAAGGUCCUGCAGAACAACCCAUGAGAGGUCUGUGGACUGGUGCGCCACGCUGGAUAUGGCCAGGUGCUGAGCAGGCUGAGAAGGCUGAGCAGAGCAUCCUGGCACCAGCACAGCUACUGAUGUGCCCAUUGCAGAUGUUACAGCUUCUGGAGACAGAUGGUCCAGGAAAUGUAUUUCAUCCUCCCAGUGCCUUCAGGAUUUUGGAAAUACCUCUGCUUCAUGGGAGAAAAAGAACAAAAAAAAAAACUUCCAUUCUAUCAAGUUUUUUCGGUAAGAGGUUACAGACUGGGUGUGGACACUCAAAAUAGCUCAUGUGCAAGAGACUACAGCACUGACCAUGGAUAAGUAAAACUCAGGUCCAGGUUUUCA